CAUAUACUUCUAAAUUGAAAACGACCAACAGUUGUUUUUCUUUACAAUAUUCAGAUUCAGUCGAAAAGAGGAUGGAAGACCAUGAACAGAGCUAAUCCCUUCGAAACAUUCGAAUUGCAGUGACAAAGGAAGGAAUGAGGCGAGAAGAAGCCGAAGAGGCUCUAAAAGUACUGGAAAAAUGCCUUUGCUCUUUCCGCUGGAGGCUGCGACCACAAGCCAGACGUCGCCUUUAUUUGGAUAUUUUGGCACUAUGUACUGGAUUGAGACCUGUGGUUAUGAUAGAUUAUGGAGGGAAAAUGCCUGAACUGCAAGAGAAUCUAUAUGGAGUUCUGUGUUUGGCUCAAAAGGAGUCCAGAAUAUUUCUUUCUUUGCGAGUUAUGAUCAUAGAAGAAAUGGUAUACUUGAUCCAUGUUCAAAACCUGCUUGAUCACAUGCAAUUGGGUAUGGGUUCAAACUCCCAGUUGCAAUUUGUAUUUCUUGAUCAGGGCCCUAUGAAGCUGGCUUUACCAGAACAUGAAAAUAUUCUUUUGGCCCAAUUUAUAUUGAUCCAAAAGCUGUUGCUAUCAGUGAUGUUAAAUCAAUAUCAAGUUAUGAUGAAAAUACCCUCACAAGACAGUUUAUUAAACAUAUCAGACAAAGGCACUUCCAUGUAUUCAAGCACAGUUUCCACCAAAAAUGACAGACAGAAGGGAUUGAAAUUCAGUAUUACAGUUCCCACAUUGGACAAUGAUUCUUUGGUAGUUUCUAAAGCCUUGGAUAUAAUUGAUGUCAGUCAAUGUAUGAUGGACACUCAAAUUUCUCCUCCAACACUGAAUGGGUGGCUUUUAGGUUAUCCUAUAGUGUAUAUCUUCAGAAGGGAGAAUGUGGAUCAAGCAGUCAGGAGUCUCUCUAUUGGGUCUCUACAUCUCUUCAGGAUUCUCAUUUGCAGUAAAGUAAGUUUUGGCAAAGAAGAUCCCGAGGAAGAAGAGCUCAUGAGUUUCUCCGUGCCUGCUAAUUUAAGCAGUUUAGGCAAAGAUGAACCAUGGGCGGAAACAUUUCUCUUGCAUAUGCUUGAAAAAGUGGAUCGAUGUAAAGAUGUGUGGAGGUCCAUCAAGUUAGAAGUUACAAGUUGUGCUCCAAAGUCAAUUGCCUUGUAACCCUGAAGCUGUUUCUGACAUUUUCUGGCACUAUUACCAUUACAAGAAUAUGAUGCUAUGUUUGCAAAAGAGAGAAAUUACUCUUAUUAUACGAUGGCAGUUCUUGCACCUGUCUAUGUUCUCAGCUGCAGCCUCCAUUAAAACAGGGAGCAUGCUUAGUGAGGUUUGAAUGUGGUCGUCAUAAUGCUCAACCAGGCUGCCUUACCACUAGACCAUAGCCAGGUGGAUGAUUAAAAAAACCUUGUUAAAGAUGAGCUGUGUACAUUCAAAGCAAAAGCCUUACAAAGAUGGGCAAUGUGUCACCAGCAGAAAUGGACAGAUUGAAAACUUAUAUUUUUUAUCAAAUGGAUAAGUACAUACACCGGGCAUAGACACAUUGACAUUAAGUAUCCUAUGAAGGCAAACUGAGAAAUGCAAAUGGACGUAUGACUGCCCUUUUCUUAACUUGGAGAAAGUAAAAAAUCAAUAGCCAGCAUGGCUAGGUGUGAGGGAGAUGGGGAAAUACUAUUGCCUCAUUAUGAUAAAAAAAAUAGCAUUCUAGGAAGCUAAAAGGAUGAUGGUGAGAAACCUCAAUAUUGUUGUCUUUACAAUUUAAAUGCUCUUAAGA